AGUUCUUCGGAACUUGAGACCGGCGCACGGGUGCGUAACGCGUAUGCAAUCUACCUUUCACAGAGGGAUAGCCCAGAGAAAUUUGGAUUAAUACCUCAUAGUAUAACACAACCGCAUGGUUGAGUUAUUAAAGUCACAACGGUGAAAGAUGAGCAUGCGUCCCAUUAGCUAGUUGGUAAGGUAAUGGCUCACCAAGGCUUCGAUCGGUAGCCGGCCUGAGAGGGCGGACGGCCACACUGGGACUGAGACACGGCCCAGACUCCUACGGGAGGCAGCAGUGGGGAAUUUUUGUCAAUGGGGGAAACCCUGAACAAGCAACGCCGCGUGGAGGACGACGACCUUCGGGUUGUAAACUCCUGUCGGAGGGGACGAAAGCGGUCGAGGCUAAUAUCCUUGGUCGUUGACGGUACCCUAUGAGGAAGCCCCGGCUAACUCCGUGCCAGCAGCCGCGGUAAUACGGGGGGGGCAAGCGUUGUUCGGAAUUACUGGGCGUAAAGGGCGCGUAGGCGGGCGGGCAAGUCUCUCGUGAAAUCCCACGGCUCAACCGUGGAACUGCGGGAGAUACUGCCUGUCUUGAGUCCGGGAGAGGAGGGUGGAAUUCCCAGUGUAGCGGUGAAAUGCGUAGAUAUUGGGAGGAACACCGGUGGCGAAGGCGGCUCUC
rnacentral:rRNA from 1 species